AAAGAUUGAAUCUCUUAGAAAAAUAGCAAGUACCCCUGAGCAAAAUCAAGAUCAAGAAACUAAAAGGACUGUAAAGAUUCAGACCUUUCUCAUAAAAAUUAACGUACAGAUGGUUAGAUUAUGAGGUUGAAGAGAACCUCAAGAGAGAUGGCAAGAUAUAGAGUUUCCUCCGAUUGAUUGAGUCGGCGGGCAAGCAAACUCUCCAAGCCAAUCUCCAGGACAAGGAGUGAGCAAGUUUUCAGGGGGAGGCGGCAGAUUAACGAGCCAGUUUAUUUCACCAAUCUUGCGAGUUAGCUCCUUCUUUUU
rnacentral:lncRNA from 1 species